rnacentral:rRNA from 1 species
UACGUAGGAGGCGAGCGUUGUCCGGAUUUACUGGGCGUAAAGAACGCGUAGGCGGUUCGUUAAGUUUGGCGUAAAAUCUCCUGGCUCAACUGGGAGGGCGCGCUGAAGACUGGCGGACUGGAGGGCAUCAGAGGAAAGCGGAACUCCCGGUGUAGUGGUGAAAUGCGUAGAGAUCGGGAAGAACACCUGUGGCGAAGGCGGCUUUCUGGGGUGUACCUGACGCUGAGGCGUGAAAGCGUGGGGAGCGAACCGG